GGACUAGGGCCUCCCUCUGGGGCCCCACACCCAUGCUGGCAAGCAUCAGGAGCAGGGAGAGGCCCAGAACUGUCACUCCCUGGGCACAGUCCCACAGUGUCCUCAACCGGACAGUCCUGUUCUGCCCUUUCUCCUGUGGGGAGGAGCUGGAGGCAGAGAAGAAGGCAGGGCCCAGACCUGGCCAGAGGCAUUGUGCUGCCAGGGACCCAUGUGCCUGCGCAUGGAGCCUACACUCUGUAUGGAGGCUUUGGACCCCUAAAUCCAGAACCGUCACCUUCCUAAGGCCUCUGCAGUCUAAACGAGGGUGGCUAUUCAGGUCCUGCUCCCAGGUAAGUGGGAGACAGGGAUGUGUGUUUGAGCAUUCUGGUUGUAGAGCCUAGAAUGAGUCAUCCACAGACCCAGAAUGCUCUCAGUUAGGUCACUAUCCACAUUCUUAAUUGAAGGGGAUUUCAAGAAUCAGCCUUUCUGUGGUAUAGAAGGCAAAGCCAAGAAACAGAGAGGAUGAUGGGGUCACUGAAGGCCACACAGCAAGCGUGGGCCAGAGCUGACCAAGAGCUCCAGUGGACCUGCCAUCCAGCUCUUCUUACUGCCUGACUCAACACUCUCAUUUCUUCAGAAGCCUCACUGGAAACCUCACUCCAGAGCUUUCCUGUUCAGAGAAAGCAGCAAACAAAGUGUAGAGCCAGCCCCCUGGGCCUAGAGCCCUGAGCUCCCUGAGCAGACCCACAGGCUGACAGAGACGUUACCGGAGCUGAUGAUUCAACUUCCUGCCUUUUGAGAGCGCCCAGACCACAGAGGUUUUCUUGCUUGGAGGAGGGGGGCAUCUCCCUGCCUUGGGCCAGGCAGAGCGGGUCAAGUCUCUACCACAAACCACAGGGACUAGGCAGUGCGUGGGGCAGGCCGUAGGGGGUCAUGCUAGAACCCUGACUGGUGCCUCCUGAAGCCUGUCUCCUCUUUGGAUUAAUGAUUACCACCUAGGGUGACCAACCAUCCUGUUUCCCUUGAAUCUGUCCUGAUGUUAGCACCAAAAAUCCCACAUCCUGGGAAACCCCUCAGCCCUGGGCAAACCAGAACAGUUGGUCACUGUAUUAUCACCCAUAUUUCAGGAGGAUUUGACUUAACACCUCAGUGACUUGGGGAGUAUGGGCCCUAGGACAGCACAUUCUAGAACGGAAUUGACAAACUAUGGCCUAAGGGUCUGAUCUGGUCUAGUGCCUAUUUUUGUAAAGCCCAUGAGCUAAGAACAGUUUUUACAUUUUUUAAUGGUUGAAAAUAAAUUUUUUUUUAAUUUUUAUUUAUUUAUGAUAGUCACAGAGAGAGAGAGAGAGAGAGAGGCAGAGACACAGGCAGAGGGAGAAGCAGGCUCCAUGCACCGGGAGCCCGACGUGGGAUUCGAUCCCUGGUCUCCAGGAUCGCGCCCUGGGCCAAAGGCAGGCGCCAAACCGCUGCGCCACCCAGGGAUCCCUGAAAAUAAAAUUUUUAAAAAAUAUUUUAUUUAUUUGACAGAGAGUAAGAACCAGAGAGAU
rnacentral:lncRNA from 1 species